rnacentral:rRNA from 1 species
UACGUAGGGUGCGAGCGUUGUCCGGAAUUAUUGGGCGUAAAGAGCUUGUAGGCGGUUUGUCGCGUCUGCUGUGAAAUCCGGGGCUCAACCCCGGACUUGCAGUGGGUACGGGCAGACUAGAGUGUGGUAGGGGAGACUGGAAUUCCUGGUGUAGCGGUGGAAUGCGCAGAGUAUCAGGAGGAACACCGAUGGCGAAGGCAGGUCUCUGGGCCGUAACUGACGCUGAGGAGCGAAAGCAUGGGGAGCGAACAGG